AGGAAGAAGAAGAUUCCUUUCCACCUACUGUUCUUUCCGUGAGAAGCUGAGAGCCAUGCAGCAUCAAGGCCGAACAUCAUCCUGGUCAUGGUUGACGACCUUGGCAUUGGAGAUCCUGGGUGCUAUGGGAACAGGACUCUCAGGACUCCCAAUAUUGACUGGUUGGCCAGUGAGGGAGUGAAACUCACUCAGCACUUGGCAGCAUCACCGCUGUGCACACCAAGCAGGGCAGCCUUCAUGACUGGCCGGUAGCCUGUCUGAUCAGGUAACCUAACUGCAUUGCAGGGGCUGUGGUCUCCUUUGGGACAGCUUCUCACCUCCAGGUAUCUCCUGGUUCCUAAGGGUUUAUUUUUUCCUGGUUCAGGAAUGGCAUCUUGGUCCUGCACUGGAGGUUUCCUCCUCACAGCCUCUUCGGGAGGACUUCCCACCAAUGAGAUUACCUGAAGGUUGAAGGCUAUUCAACAGUGCUAAUAGAGAAAUGGCACAUUGGGAUAAGCUGUCACAGCAAGACUGACUUCUUGCUUUUCAUCAUAGCUUUGAUUAUUUCUAUGGGAUGACCUCCUUAACCCAUCUGAGAGACAGCAAGGCAAGGGAGGGCAGUGUCUUCACCAUGGGCUUCAAGAGACCGGUCUUCAUCCCCCUGCAGAUCAUCAGAGUGGCCCUCCUUACCCUCACUGCACUCAAUUGUCUGGGGCUGCUCCACCUGCCGCUGGCCACUUUUUUUGGCCUUCUCUUCCUAGCAGCUCUGAUCCUGAUCUUUUCCUGGGCUUCUGUGAUUACUUCCAGUCCCUGAACUUCUUCAUCAUGAGGAACUACCAGAUCAUUCAGCAGCCCAUGUCCUAUGGCAAUCUCACUCAGAGGCUAAUGGUGGAGGCAGCCCAGUUCAUAUAGUGGAACACUGAGACUCCUUUCCUGCUUGUCUUGUCCUACCUCCACGUGCACAUGGCCUUGUUCUCCAGCAAGGACUUUGCCGGCAAAAGUAAACACGGAGUCUGUGGGGAUGCUGUUGAGGAAAUGGACUGUAGUGUGGGUAUGUCUCUCCUCGGUGAAGAUCAUUGAUGGACAUGAUCUGAUGCCCCUACUUGAAGGAAAAUACCAGUACUCUGAUCAUGAGUUUCUCUUCCGUUACUGAAAUGCCCACUUAAACGCUG
rnacentral:lncRNA from 1 species